rnacentral:rRNA from 1 species
AUGGCAAAAAAGUUGGGUUCUGCCGGCUUCUGUAACAACCUUGCAGGCACCCUGUCCUGCAAACGGGCCUUUCGGGUAGCAUUUCUCCGUAAGAUCCGCAUCAUGUUGCCAGCAAAACGCGAGGCGUACAGUGCCGCGCCCAGACUGAGCUUGGUAGAGUCGUCACUUACAAUAGCUGCUUGUAACCUCUUCUCCUUCUCAAACAAAGAAUCCUCUAGCUUCUUUCUGCAAUAUCUGUGCCAAGCUGCCUGUAUAAAACAAGCGGCCCAGGUUCUCCACUGUUGUGAGUAG